rnacentral:lncRNA from 1 species
GAUCCAAGAAUAUAUCUAUCAUGAGGAAAUAACAUAUGAAGAGCAUCAUACGGAACAUGAGAAGCUUAUAAGACUAUGGUGGAAGAUCUAAAGGACGGUCAACUAGAAGUCAAUGCCUUAGAAGAAGGAUAUAUACCUCACAAAAGCUGGAGAGUUAUCUCAAGAGAUUCUGUGUAGUACAUUAAACAUAUAAUCUGACUUGCAUACUUGGAUCCGAGGGACCCAAAAUCAACGUAAGCCUUUGUCUUAUUUUAUAAGUUGUAUCUGUCAUAGUAUCUGAUAGAUCAGUUAUUUUGUCUUCUUCUGUCUAUGUGUGCAAACAGACAAAGGACCUCAAGAACAAAGAAAAUGCAACAAAUAAUUCUUUUUCCACCAAAUGAAAUUCAAAGGACUUUUCAACGGAAUUAUUCAUAUCAGGCAAAGGGCCAGUGUUCUUGAUUGAAGCUUCUUAACGACUCUAUUUGUGCUGGAACGCUUAUCCAACGUCUCUUAAAUC